rnacentral:lncRNA from 1 species
AUUCAAUGUUCUGUUCCGUGUUCCGUGUUCUAUGUUUGUUACGAAUCUGUGUGCUUUCCUCUGCUUUAUAUUCCUGCAUUCCUGCUUUACUCUGUUUUAUAUUUCUUAUGGCUGCAGUAUCUAUGUUAUGUCAUCUGCUUCUGUGCUGUACUAUGUGUUUGUUUGAUAUCUCGUAACUUGAGCCGGGGGUCUUUCGGAAACAGCCUUUCUACUUCAUCAGAGGUAGAGGUAUGGACUGCGUACAUCUUACCCCCCCC